ACGAGUUUGAUCAUGGCUCAGAUUGAACGCUGGCGGAAUGCUUUACACAUGCAAGUCGAACGGUAGAGGGGGCAACCCCUUGAGAGUGGCGAACGGGUGAGUAAUAUAUCGGAACGUGCCCAGUCGUGGGGGAUAACGUAGCGAAAGUUACGCUAAUACCGCAUACGAUCUACGGAUGAAANCGGGGGACUCGCAAGAGCCUCGCGCGAUUGGAGCGGCCGAUAUCAGAUUAGGUAGUUGGUGGGGUAAAGGCUCACCAAGCCAACGAUCUGUAGCUGGUCUGAGAGGACGACCAGCCACACUGGAACUGAGACACGGUCCAGACUCCUACGGGAGGCAGCAGUGGGGAAUUUUGGACAAUGGACGCAAGUCUGAUCCAGCCAUUCCGCGUGCAGGAUGAAGGCCUUCGGGUUGUAAACUGCUUUGUACGGAACGAAACGGUGAGCUCUAAUACAGUUUGCUAAUGACGGUACCGUAAGAAUAAGCACCGGCUAACUACGUG
rnacentral:rRNA from 1 species